CUCCUUCUUUACAUAGAAGAGUUCCUCUUUGAAUGGACAAAGAGCUCCUCUUUUCCUUUACUGGCUAGGUGUGGCUCAAAGUGGCAAAACUGAAGCCAUUUCUUCAACCUGAAGAUGGAAGCUGCCAUAGAAAAUGGCAGAGACACAAGGCAAUCCAUGCUGAAAGGCAUCAGUUUUGGAGAUAAAUCUGGGAGAGGAAGCCUGCGGUCAGGAUGUCAUUCCCAGACAAGACAUGAUAAGAACCUCAACUCUAGGCUAUUGGAAAUGAAGAGAAGGGAAUGCAGGUAAGCCAUUGACAAGAUCUUGGUGCCUAACGAUAAGAGAAGGAGGAGCUGGGUAUUCUGGAUGACUUCCUUACA
rnacentral:lncRNA from 1 species